UAGAGAAAGAGUCUCAUGUGACCCGGCCAACCUUAAACUCCCUCUCCUAAGUGCUGGAUUACACGGACGGGUACCAGCAUGCCAAAGCAGAUAAUUGAGUGUUUGAAGAUUUUGCUUAAAUACAGACUCCUGUGCAUUUCAAACAGUUUGCUGAGUUUGAAAUUGAGAGAUGCCUGCCUGCAUCCUCUUGCUGGUACAUACUGGAUGCGGGCCACACUUGGGCCGACGAUUGCAGAACUUUCUAACUUGCCUUGCUCCCUAGCACUCAGGCAGGUCAGCCGGCCAUGUCAGAGCAGUCUGUUUCCCUGCAUCCAUCCAGCUCCAAGUUCUUCCUUCCCCUUUGUGAGGCAACAUAAAACUUGGUUCUUGUGUAACAGAACAGACAAGGCUGUGUAUGUGUGGUGAAAGUGAAGCGAGGGUCCCCUCGAGCCUCAGACUCCAUGCAGAGGGAGAGCCUCAGUUUCCACCUCAGAGGUCUCAGUUGUGCUUUUCCAAGCAGAAAAAUUGCCUUGAGCUUCUAAAAAGGAAUACAUUAGCACACAACGUUGCCAGCUCUGUGUGGCCCUCCCUUCUUAGGAGGCCACAUUCUAUGCAUAGGAAAGUGGCUUACCAUGGAGUCAUGCAAAAUGCCACCUGCCCCAGUCUGUGGCCACCAGUACCUAGGAAUAGAAACAUGUAUUGUGUCCUUUGAUGGACAAAGGACUGAGCCAUCAAAGGUCUCACCCACAUGGCUUAAAAAGCUUUUGUGAACAUCC
rnacentral:lncRNA from 1 species